rnacentral:rRNA from 1 species
GUACACAAAAAUGCACAUGCUGUGAGCUCGAUGAGUAGGGCGGGACACGUGGUAUCCUGUCUGAAUAUGGGGGGACCAUCCUCCAAGGCUAAAUACUCCUGACUGACCGAUAGUGAACCAGUACCGUGAGGGAAAGGCGAAAAGAACCCCGGCGAGGGGAGUGAAAAAGAACCUGAAACCGUGUACGUACAAGCAGUGGGAGCACAGAGCAAUCUGUGUGACUGCGUACCUUUUGUAUAAUGGGUCAGCGACUUAUAUUCUGUAGCAAGGUUAACCGAAUAGGGGAGCCGAAGGGAAACCGAGUCUUAACUGGGCGUUAAGUUGCAGGGUAUAGACCCGAAACCCGGUGAUCUAGCCAUGGGCAGGUUGAAGGUUGGGUAACACUAACUGGAGGACCGAACCGACUAAUGUUGAAAAAUUAGCGGAUGACUUGUGGCUGGGGGUGAAAGGCCAAUCAAACCGGGAGAUAGCUGGUUCUCCCCGAAAGCUAUUUAGGUAGCGCCUCGUGAAUUCAUCUCCGGGGGUAGAGCACUGUUUCGGCAAGGGGGUCAUCCCGACUUACCAACCCGAUGCAAACUGC